rnacentral:rRNA from 1 species
GACGAACGCUGGCGGCGUGCUUAACACAUGCAAGUCGAACGAUGAACCCGGAGCUUGCUCCGGUGGAUUAGUGGCGGACGGGUGAGUAACACGUGAGUAACCUGCCCUUGACUCUGGGAUAACUGCGGGAAACUGUAGCUAAUACCGGAUACGACCCUCGGCGGCAUCGCCAGGGGGUGGAAAGAAUUUCGGUCAAGGAUGGACUCGCGGCCUAUCAGCUUGUUGGUGGGGUGAUGGCCUACCAAGGCGACGACGGGUAGCCGGCCUGAGAGGGUGACCGGCCACACUGGGACUGAGAUACGGCCCAGACUCCUACGGGAGGCAGCAGUGGGGAAUAUUGCACAAUGGGCGCAAGCCUGAUGCAGCGACGCCGCGUGAGGGAUGACGGCCUUCGGGUUGUAAACCUCUUUCAGCACCGACGAAGCGCAAGUGACGGUAGGUGCAGAAGAAGGACCGGCCAACUACGUGCCAGCCGCCCGCCGUAA